UACGAAGGGGGCUAGCGUUGUUCGGAAUUACUGGGCGUAAAGCGCACGUAGGCGGGUUUGUAAGUAGGGGGUGAAAUCCCAGGGCUCAACCCUGGAACUGCCUUCUAGACUGCAAGCCUGGAGGUCAGGAGAGGCGAGUGGAAUACCGAGUGUAGAGGUGAAAUUCGUAGAUAUUCGGUGGAACACCAGUGGCGAAGGCGACUCGCUGGACUGAUACUGACGCUGAGGUGCGAAAGCGUGGGGAGCAAAC
rnacentral:rRNA from 3 species